rnacentral:rRNA from 1 species
GAUGAACGCUAGCGAUAGGCUUAACACAUGCAAGUCGAGCGGCAGCACACGGUAGCUUGCUAUUUGUGUGGCGACCGGCGCACGGGUGCGUCACGCGUAUGCAACUUGCCCUAUACAGGAGGAUAACCCGACGAAAGACUGACUAAUACUGCGUAUGCCCACAACUUGGCAUCAAGUGGAGAGUUAAGACAUUCGGUAUAGGAUAGGCAUGCGUUCCAUUAGCUUGUUGGUGAGGUAACGGCUCACCAAGGCAACGAUGGGUAGGGGAACUGAGAGGUGUAGCCCCCACACGGGGACUGAGACACGGACCAGAGUCAUACGGGCGGCAGCAGUGAGGAAGACAGGUCAGUGGGCGCGAGCCUGAACCAGCCAAGUCGCGUGAAGGAUGACUGUGUUAUGGAUUGUGGCCUUCUGUUAGAAGAGAACAUCCGGAGGCACGGGUGACUGCGUGAAUGUACCGGAUAAAUAAGCAUCGGCUAACUACGUG